rnacentral:rRNA from 1 species
GGGGUAUAGUUCUUCGGAACUAGAGACCGGCGCACGGGUGCGUAACGCGUAUGCAAUCUACCUUUUACAGAGGGAUAGCCCAGAGAAAUUUGGAUUAAUACCUCAUAGUAUAAUGACUCGGCAUCGAGACAUUAUUAAAGUCACAACGGUAAAAGAUGAGCAUGCGUCCCAUUAGCUAGUUGGUAAGGUAACGGCUUACCAAGGCUACGAUGGGUAGGGGUCCUGAGAGGGAGAUCCCCCACACUGGUACUGAGACACGGACCAGACUCCUACGGGAGGCAGCAGUGAGGAAUAUUGGACAAUGGGCGCAAGCCUGAUCCAGCCAUGCCGCGUGCAGGAUGACGGUCCUAUGGAUUGUAAACUGCUUUUAUACAGGAAGAAACCCUGGUUCGUGAACCAGCUUGACGGUACUGUAAGAAUAAGGAUCGGCUAACUCCGUGCCAGCAGCCGCGGUAAUACGGAGGAUCCAAGCGUUAUCCGGAAUCAUUGGGUUUAAAGGGUCCGUAGGCGGUUUAGUAAGUCAGUGGUGAAAGCCCAUCGCUCAACGGUGGAACGGCCAUUGAUACUGCUAAACUUGAAUUAUUAGGAAGUAACUAGAAUAUGUAGUGUAGCGGUGAAAUGCUUAGAGAUUACAUGGAAUACCAAUUGCGAAGGCAGGUUACUACUAAUUGAUUGACGCUGAUGGACGAAAGCGUGGGUAGCGAACAGGAUUAGAUACCCUGGUAGUCCACGCCGUAAACGAUGGAUACUAGCUGUUGGAAGCAAUUUCAGUGGCUAAGCGAAAGUGAUAAGUAUCCCACCUGGGGAGUACGUUCGCAAGAAUGAAACUCAAAGG